rfam:Triticum aestivum genome assembly, contig: Triticum_aestivum_CS42_TGACv1_scaffold_501539_6BL
AAUAUACUCCCUCCGUCCGGAAAUACUUGUCGUAGAAAUUGAUGACAAUGGAUGCAUCUAGAACAAAAAUACGUCUAGAUACAUCCGUCUCUCCGACGAGUAUUUCCGGACGGAGGGAGUAACAU